GGAGUUAAACAAAAUCAGUUUUCAAUAACACCCAAGACAAGAUGAAGGUUACCAUUGCAAUUAUUGGACUUUUUGUGACUGUCUUCUGCAGCCAGCAAUUGCCGAUAAUGGCAUGUGGUAUCACAGAGGUGUAUAAUAAGUUCAACGAAUAUUGUAUAUCAAUCACCACCCAUGCUAAUCCGUCUCUUUGCAUCAGUUUCAAUGAGAUCAACGAAAUUGGCAAUUUCAAUUCUUGGUUCCACUCUGAUUCCGUAAGAUUUUGUGUAUUUCCAUUUUUAAAUGAAUUUUGCAAUAAAUGCAACAUUUUGCCUGCUUGGGUUCCCCCACCCACUAAUAUUUUAUGAGGCUUACAAAAUCUACAACAGCAAGUCAACCGAACCAGAAUAUUGAAUUUAUUCUAUUGCACUUAAUCCUUUUGUUCUUGCACUUUGGCAUGCCAGCCCUUAAAUAUAUUCCCCAAGCAUUACAAAA